GAUGAAGAAAGUAGCGAAAUGCGAUACUUGGUGUGAAUUGCAGAAUCCCGUGAACCAUCGAGUCUUUGAACGCAAGUUGCGCCUCAAGCCAUUAGGUUGAGGGCACGUCUGCCUGGGCGUCACAUAUCGUUGCCUGAUGCCAGUUUCCUCGUGAUGGGUGACUGUGCAGGGCGAAUGAUGGCUUCCCGUGAGCAUUGUUGCCUCAUGGUUGGUUGAAAAUUGAGUCCUUGGUAGGGAGCGCCGUGAUAGAUGGUGGUUGAGUGACGAACGAGACCCAAUCAUGUGAGACCCCUACCGAAUUUGGCCUUCAUGACCCACAUGCGUCUUUGGAACGCUCAUGACGAGACCUCAGGUCAGGCGGGGCUACCCGCUGAGUUUAAGCAUAUCAAUAAGCGGAGGA
rnacentral:misc_RNA from 1 species